AGCUAGUUGGUAGGGUAACGGCCUACCAAGGCGACGAUCAGUAGCCGGCCUGAGAGGGUGAACGGCCACAUUGGGACUGAGACACGGCCCAAACUCCUACGGGAGGCAGCAGUGGGGAAUAUUGCACAAUGGGGGAAACCCUGAUGCAGCGACGCCGCGUGAGUGAAGAAGUAUUUCGGUAUGUAAAGCUCUAUCAGCAGGGAAGAAAAUGACGGUACCUGACUAAGAAGCCCCGGCUAACUACGUGCCAGCAGCCGCGGUAAUACGUAGGGGGCAAGCGUUAUCCGGAUUUACUGGGUGUAAAGGGAGCGUAGACGGCUUUGCAAGUCUGACGUGAAACUCCGGGGCUCAACUCCGGAACUGCGUUGGAAACUGUAAGGCUUGAGUGCCGGAGAGGUAAGCGGAAUUCCUAGUGUAGCGGUGAAAUGCGUAGAUAUUAGGAGGAACACCAGUGGCGAAGGCGGCUUACUGGACGGCAACUGACGUUGAGGCUCGAAAGCGUGGGGAGCAAACAGGAUUAGAUACCCUGGUAGUCCACGCGGUAAACGAUGAAUACUAGGUGUUGGGGGACAAAGUCCUUCGGUGCCGCCGCAAACGCAUUAAGUAUUCCACCAGGGGAGUACGUUCGCAAGAAUGAAACUCAAAGGAAUUGACGGGGACCCGCACAAGCGGUGGAGCAUGUGGUUUAAUUCGAAGCAACGCGAAGAACCUUACCAAGUCUUGACAUCGAUUCGACGGGAGUGUAAUGACUCCUUUCCCUUCGGGGACGAAGAAGACAGGUGGUGCAUGGUUGUCGUCAGCUCGUGUCGUGAGAUGUUGGGUUAAGUCCCGCAACGAGCGCAACCCUUAUAUUCAGUAGCCAGCGAGUAAGGUCGGGCACUCUGGAGAGACUGCCAGGGACAACCUGGAGGAAGGUGGGGAUGACGUCAAAUCAUCAUGCCCCUUAUGACUUGGGCUACACACGUGCUACAAUGGCGUAAACAAAGGGAAGCGAACCUGUGAGGGUGGGCAAAUCCCAAAAUAACGUCUCAGUUCGGAUUGUAGUCUGCAACUCGACUACAUGAAGCUGGAAUCGCUAGUAAUCGCGAAUCAGCAUGUCGCGGUGAAUACGUUCCCGGGUCUUGUACACACCGCCCGUCACACCAUGGGAGUCGGUAACGCCCGAAGUCAGUGACCCAACCGCAAGGAGGGAGCUGCCGAAGGCGGGACUGGUAACUGGGGUGAAGUCGUAACAAGGUAACCGUACUAGUACGAAAUUGUU
rnacentral:rRNA from 1 species